GACGAACGCCGGCGGCGUGCUUAACACAUGCAAGUCGAACGGAAAGGCCCUGCUUGCAGGGUACUCGAGUGGCGAACGGGUGAGUAACACGUGGGUGAUCUGCCCUGCACUUCGGGAUAAGCCUGGGAAACUGGGUCUAAUACCGGAUAGGAGCCAUUUUUAGUGUGAUGGUUGGAAAGUUUUUUCGGUGUAGGAUGAGCUCGCGGCCUAUCAGCUUGUUGGUGGGGUAAUGGCCUACCAAGGCGGCGACGGGUAGCCGGCCGGAGAGGGUGGACGGCCACAUUGGGACUGAGAUACGGCCCAGACUCCUACGGGAGGCAGCAGUGGGGAAUAUUGCACAAUGGGCGCAAGCCUGAUGCAGCGACGCCGCGUGGGGGAUGACGGCCUUCGGGUUGUAAACUCCUUUCGCUAGGGACGAAGCUUUUUGUGACGGUACCUAGAUAAGAAGCACCGGCUAACUACGUG
rnacentral:rRNA from 1 species